GCGGGUCACGGUCAUGCGCAGCCACUGCCACCCGCCCGACGUGGAGGGCCUGGAGGCCCGGCGGCGGCAGGAGAGGGCGGGCCCCAACGGCCUCGGGGCCCCCGAGGACAAGCCGCUGCCAGCUGUGGACAGUCCGCUGUGCCGCAGGGGCCCGGGCCCUCUGGCGCUCUCCAGGCGUCGGCCCAGGAAGCGAGCCAAGCCCGACGAGCAGGAGCUCGUGGAGCCCCACGCCCCGCCGGACCCGGAGGCUGACCCCGGAGGCCCCGAGUUCCUGAGGACCCCGCUCGGGGGCAGCUUCCUGGUGCACGACUCGUUCCUCUACAGGCGGGAGAAGGCGGCCGGCGAGAAGGUGUACUGGACGUGCCGGGACCAGGCCCGCAUGGGCUGCCGCAGCCGCGCCAUCACCCAGGGCCAGCGCGUCACGGUCAUGCGUGGGCACUGCCACCCGCCCGACCUGGCUGGCCUCGAGGCCCUGCGGCAGCGGGAGAAGCGACCCGGCCCGGCGCAGCGGGAGAACCCAGGAGGCCCCGAGUUCCUGAGGACCCCGCUCGGGGGCAGCUUCCUGGUGCACGACUCGUUCCUCUACAGGCGGGAGAAGGCGGCCGGUGAGAAGGUGUACUGGACGUGCCGGGACCAGGCCCGCAUGGGCUGCCGCAGCCGCGCCAUCACCCAGGGCCAGCGCGUCAUGGUCAUGCGCAGGCACUGCCACCCGCCCGACCUGGCCGGCCUCGAGGCCCUGCGGCAGCGGGAGAAUCUCCCCAACCUGACGCACUGGGAAGGCCCAGAGCCCACGGAGCCCCUGGAGUUCCUGCGGACGUCGCUCGGGGGCAGGUUCCUGGUGCACGAGUCGUUCCUGUACAGGAAGGAGAAGGCGGCCGGCGGGAAGGUGUACUGGAUGUGCCGGGACCAAGGCCGCACCGGCUGCCGCAGCCGCGCCAUCACCCAGGGCCAGCGCGUCAUGGUCAUGCGCAGCCACUGCCACCCGCCCGACCUGGCCGGCCUCGAGGUCCUGCGGCAGCGGGAGCGGCUGCCCGGCCGGGCCCCGCAGCGAGAGCCAGAGAAGACACAGCUCCUGCCCGACGUCCAGCUGUGCUUGGAGACCGCCUCGGCCGAAGGCCAGCAGAGCGACGGAUUUCUCAGGGAGAGAGACCUUCCGUCUGCUGGUUCACUCCCCGAAGGGCUGGGCCAGGCCAAAGCCAGGAGCCAGCAGCUUCCUCCGGGGCUCCCAGGUGGGUGCAGGGGCCAAGGACUUGGCCAUCUCCUGCUGCUUUCCCAGGCCCCAGCAGAGAGCUGGAUCGGAAGUGGAGCAGCCGGGACUCGAACCGGCACCCAUGUGGGAUGCUGCUAUCUCAGGCCCCCGCCCUCUGCUUCUGACCCAGCUUCCUGCUAAGAAGCCAAGAGGCGGUAGUGCUGGCCAAGUUCGUGGGUGCCAGCACCCACGGGGGAGGCGGGACUGUGUUUCCUUGUGGCUCUGGGCCGGCCCCGCCCGGACGUUGCAGGCACUUGGGGAGUGAACCAGAGUCAGAAGACCGCUGUGUCAUUCUGCCUUUAAAAUAAAUGAAUUUCAAACAAACUAAUGAAAUCCUUUUAAAUGAAUGAAAAUGGAGACCACAUCCGGGAUGUAGGGAGGGGACAGAUCUCAGACCAGGGGAGGCGCCCGCAGAAAUAGCUCCCACCUAAGGCAAGGAGAGGGAAGGAGAAAGCGAGCCGCAGGCCCUUGGGGAGGGUGAACAGACUGACCGAGCCCAAGCACCGAGCAGACGAAUGAAGGACAUGUGUCAGUCACCGCAGACUCCCAGAGAGAAAAUCCAAAUUGACCCAGAGAACUAGAGAUCCACUUAGUCAUCUUAAAAGUAGCCAAGAGGCCAGCUCCACGCCAGCCUGCAGUGACUUCUACGAGACGUUUGGGAGACAUUAACACCGACACUGCAGAGGCCUCCCACAGAGAGGAGGGCAGAGGUUGCCCCCUCAACUCCACACGGCCAGUACGAGGCCCACAGAAGCCAGAACCCUCAGCAGAACCCCAGCAGAGAGCCUGGCACCCAGCAGGCCUGGCAGCAUGGUGCACCUCCUGCCAGCACCCGGCCUGGGGACUCCGACACUGCCCCACGGGGACACCCAGCGCUCGCCCUCGUCAGCCCUGUUCACCUGCGCUGAGCACCUGGGUGUCUGGGGUUUCAGCCACUGCAGCCGCUCACCCCAGUGCCUGCCCUGGACGCCCCAGCUCAGGCAGGGUCCCCGGGAGCAGCUCCUCCGGCCAACAGCCAGUACUGGAGGACAGCACCCGCACUGUUGGCCAGGCCAAGGCCCUGGGGCCACACUGGCUUCCGUAAGGCCCUGGCCCACCGCCUCCUGCCUCUGCUCUCGUCUUCACCGAGAUGCACCUGAGAUAUAGGUGUGACCGUGGGCUACGUGCUGAGACUCCUUCCAGCCUAGGGGAGGACCAGGGGACGCCAGCACAUCGGGGCUGCGGAGCAUAGAACCCACGACCGCUGUGGACACAGCGCAGGCCGCAGCUGGCAGCCGGCGCACUAUGCACUGAGCCCGGGGAAGGAGGGGCUCCUGUACCGGCAGGAAGCGCCUGAGCCCAGCGCUGCCGUCACAGCUGCCAGUGAGAGGCCAGGCCAGGAGGAGGAGCUGGGGCCACCGGGACGGGAAAAGAGGAAGCGCCCGUCCCCACAGGUGGCCUCUCACACGCCGGGGUGGUCACGCUCAACGACCCACGGAGUCCACUGCAGACCUCCCAGCACCAGAGCGGGGUGGCUGCUGGGUGCAGCGGCCAGGCUGGGCGUGGGGGGCCUGUGUCCUGCCGCCCUGCACUGCCAGCUCGGCUCCUCUGCAGUGCCUGGGAGGCGGCCGAUGUUGACAAGGGACCUGGGCUCCUGCCACGCACGUGGGACCCGCAUGGGUGCCUGGCCCCUGCCUGCCAGGCCAACACUGCUGUAGGCCCUGGGGAGUGACCCUGACGGAUUUCUCCCUCCUUCCCACUCGCUGUGCCUUUCAAAUAAGGAAGCAAGUAAACAGGAGCACCAGCGACCCACAGCCCGACGGCGAGUCCCAGUGAGGCCCCUCCCGGCACCCGCAGCCUGCGCACCGCCAGCCAGGGCUCUCGGCAGGGCGGGGCAGGUGGCCUGCACACCUGAGCGAGUGGCAGCUCCGAAGCAGCACCGUGUGCAGACGCCUCGCCCGGGGUCCUCCCAGCAGGGGCGGCCUGCUUCCCCUCAGCCAACUCGGUGCAGAGGCCGCUGAGCCACCCCAGAGCCCAGUGCGCGCCACGCCAGAGACCGCCACGCUGCACUCGAACGACACAGACCAUCCCAUUCUGCGCUACGGACCCCUGCGCAGCUCGCCAGAGACCACCACCCACCACACGGCGACCACACCACAGACCAUUCCACUGCGCUACAGACCCCUGCACACCGCACCAGACUCCCCACAGGAGCCCAGGGGCCUCCCGGGCGACGCUCCUGCGCCAGGCUGCAGCCAGCCCCAUCCAUAAUGGCCCAGCCCAGUCAGCAGCGGCCCCACCACGCCCUCUGGGUGCUGCCCUGCCUGCGCCCUGCUCCUGGCUCUGCCUGUGACCGCAUCCCCCGCCAGGUGGCGCUGCCGCGGGGCCUGAGCACAGCCGUGGACGGGACUCUGCCUGUGAUCGGAUCCCCGCCAGGUGGCGCUGCAGGGGCCUGAGCACAGCCGUGGACAGGACUCUGCCUGUGACCGGAUCCCCGCCAGGUGGCGCUGCAGGGACCUGAGCACAGCCGUGGACAGGACUCUGCCUGUGACCGCAUCCCCCGCCAGGUGGCGCUGCAGGGGCCUGAGCACAGCCGUGGACAGGACUCUGCCUGUGACCGGGUUCCCCGCCAGGUGGCGCUGCCGCGGGGGCCUGAGCACAGCCGUGGACGGGACUCUGCCUGUGAUCGGAUCCCCGCCAGGUGGCGCUGCAGGGACCUGAGCACAGCCGUGGACAGGACUCUGCCUGUGACCGCAUCCCCCGCCAGGUGGCGCUGCAGGGGCCUGAGCACAGCCGUGGACAGGACUCUGCCUGUGACCGGGUUCCCCGCCAGGUGGCGCUGCCGCGGGGGCCUGAGCGCAGCUGUGGGCAGGUCGCGGGCGCUGCACACCCCACCAUGGCCGUCACAGCUGCCUGGGACGCCCAGGUUCAUCUGAAGCCAGGGGAGAGCUGGGUGGGGAAGUGCCGAGGGAGCCUUCAUGGGGCCAAGCUGGCACCACGGGCACUCAGGGCCCUGCCUGGACAGCGGGUCCCCGUGCCCACCCUGUCAUGGGAGAGGGAGCAGCGGGCACUGUGUGUGGCAGGCUCCGCCCCGGCAAGCUGGCUGUGGAGCUGUCCGCCCGCGGGGGGGCAGUGAUGCUGGUGCCCCCACGCCCCCUCUGUCCCCUCCCCCAAUAAAGACUACAUGACCUCA